GAUGAACGCUGGCGGCGGGCCUAAUACAUGCAAGUCGAGCGAACAGACGAUGAGCUUGCUCCUUUGACGUUAGCGGCGGACGGGUGAGUAACACGUAGGUAACCUACUUAUAAUACUGGGAUAACUUCGUGAAACCGGAGCUAAUACUGGCUAAUAUUUCGUACCGCAUGGUUCGAUAGUGAAAGAUGGCUUUGCUAUCACUUAUAGAUGGACCUGCGCCGUAUUAGCUAGUUGGUAAGGUAACGGCUUACCAAGGCAACGAUACGUAGCCGACCUGAGAGGGUGAUCAGCCACACUGGAACUGAGACACGGUCCAGACUCCUACGGGAGGCAGCAGUAGGGAAUCUUCCGCAAUGGGCGAAAGCCUGACGGAGCAACGCCGCGUGAGUGAUGAAGGUCUUCGGAUCGUAAAACUCUGUUAUUAGGGAAGAACAAACGUGGAAGUAACUGUGCACGUCUUGACGGUACCUAAUCAGAAAGCCACGGCUAACUACGUG
rnacentral:rRNA from 1 species